rnacentral:rRNA from 1 species
UCAGAACGAACGCUGGCGGCGUGCCUAACACAUGCAAGUCGAACGGUAACAGGUCCUUCGGGACGCUGACGAGUGGCGCACGGGUGAGUAACGCGUGGAUAUCUGCCUAUUAGUGGGGGACAACUACAGGAAACUGUAGCUAAUACCGCAUAAUCUCUACGGAGGAAAGCAGGGGACCUUUCGGGGCCUUGCGCUGAUAGAUGAGUCCGCGUCUGAUUAGCUAGUUGGUGGGGUAAAAGCCUACCAAGGCGAUGAUCAGUAACUGGUUUGAGAGGAUGAUCAGUCACACUGGAACUGAGACACGGUCCAGACUCCUACGGGAGGCAGCAGUGGGGAAUAUUGCACAAUGGGGGAAACCCUGAUGCAGCGACGCCGCGUGCGGGAAGAAGGCCUUCGGGUUGUAAACCGCUUUCAAUUGGGAAGAAGAGAUGAGCACUAAUAUUGCUCUGAUUUGACGGUACCUUUAGAAGAAGCACCGGCUAAUUUCGUGCCAGCAGCCGCGGUAAUACGAAAGGUGCAAGCGUUGUUCGGAUUUACUGGGCGUAAAGAGAUCGUAGGUGGUUUUAUUAAGUCGGAUGUGAAAUCCCGGGGCUCAACCCCGGAACUGCAUUCGAUACUGAUAGGCUAGAGUUUGGGAGGGGUAAGCGGAAUUCCGUGUGUAGCAGUGAAAUGCGUAGAUAUACGGAGGAACACCUGAGGCGAAGGCGGCUUACUGGACCAAUACUGACACUGAGGAUCGAAAGCGUGGGUAGCAAACAGGAUUAGAUACCCUGGUAGUCCACGCCCUAAACGAUGUCAACUAGCCGUUUGAGAGUUUACCUCUUGUGUAUCGAAGCUAACGCGGUAAGUUGACCGCCUGGGGAGUACGCUCGCAAGAUUAAAACUCAAAGGAAUAGACGGGGACCCGCACAAGUGGUGGAGCAUGUGGUUUAAUUCGAAAAUACGCGAAGAACCUUACCUAGCCUUGACAUAUGUUAGAACACACCAGAGAUAGAGAAGUGCCUUCGGGAGCUAAUUUACAGGUGCUGCACGGCUGUCGUCAGCUCGUGUCGUGAGAUGUUGGGUUAAGUCCCGCAACGAGCGCAACCCUCGUGUCUAGUUACUAACAGUUCGGCUGAGGACUCUAGACAGACUGCCUUCGUAAGGAGGAGGAAGGUGAGGACGACGUCAAGUCAUCAUGGCCCUUACGGCUAGGGCAACACACGUGCUACAAUGGCCGGUACAGAGGGCUGCAAACUUGCGAGAGUAAGCUAAUCCCUUAAAGCCGGUCCUAGUCCGGAUUGGAGUCUGCACCUCGACUCCAUGAAGCUGGAAUCGCUAGUAAUCGCGGAUCAGAAUGCCGCGGUGAAUUCGUUCCCGGGCCUU